UCCAUUUAUUCCAACAAUAAAUAAAUAAAUUGUUAAUAUUAUUCGAGAGCUAGUCUUCGGAGUGGCGAAAACGGAAAUUGAACGGUAACAGUAAUCAACCAACUGAAUUGAUGACGCAACCCAUGUACCUACGUGAUCAACUCUAAACCAUAUUAAUAAGUGUUAGGGGCAGAAACCGAUAAAUGGCGAAGUACCUACUUCCACAACAAGGAAACUUUCCUUUAAGGAGUUCCUUCGAAUUGACCGGUGUAUCAUCUAGAGUGUCUAUGGAACGCUGAUAAAAGUCGCAAUCGCAAUCCACAUCUGUGAGCUUCUUCAAAUUAGGUUUUCACCUCGCCAUCAAAAUGUAGGACAGCAAAUCUUCAUCCUCGAUAAGAAGAGAGAUCCUCACUGACCUUGUUUUAAUUGUUUUAUCUAAUUUCAUCUAUAAAAGUACCUACCCACCUCAUUACGUAAUGCUAAAGUUUACAAAAACAAAUUUUUGGGUACUUCAUUCCCACAGUUACUAACAAUAAAGCUGGUCGCUCCGGACUACGCUAGAGGGCAGGGCAGCCUCCUCUUAGGAAUCGUGGGAAUCUAGGAGUGGUGAUUUGAGUGAGAAAGAUGAGAAGAUCAAAAU